GAAAAAAAAUCCUAAAAUUCAUAUAGAACCAAAAAAGGGCCCAAAUAGCAAGAGCAAUCUUAAGAAAACAGAAUAAAGUUGGAAGUAUCAAAUUAUUUCAUUUCAAAUUGUACUAUAGCCGGAAGUGAAGGGGCCAUAUUGAUGGGUGACCCCGAGAGAGGUACCGGGCCAGAGGUGAGUCCUGCGGAGUGGUAGCGCGUGCGGCCUGCGGUGUGACACCCAGCCCCUGCUAGUCCCCUAUGGCCCCGUGGAGCCGAGAGGCGGUGCUGAGUCUCUAUCGGGCUCUGUUGCACCAGGGCCGACAGCUUCGCUACACUGAUCAAGACUUCUACUUUGCCUCCAUCCGCCGUGAAUUCCGAAAACAGCAGAAGCUAGAGGACCCUGAGGCCCGGGAGAGGCAGAUGGAGAAGGGCCUGGUCUUUCUUCACGGCAAAUUGGGAAGGAUAAUUUAGGAUCCUCCAAAGGAAAGAGGACAAAGGUGCCUUCUGUAGACACUCCUGGUCUCUCCCAUCCCCACCUCACAGAUGCAUUAAGAAGCUUCAGAUGAGCAAUGGCAGGCGCUGGUGAGCGCAAAGGCAAGAAGGAUGACAAUGGCAUUGGCACGGCCAUUGACUUUGUGCUCUCCAAUGCCCAGCUGGUGCUGGGGGUGGGUGGAGCGGCCAUGCUGGGCAUCGCCACGCUGGCAGUUAAGCGGAUGUAUGAUCGGGCGAUCAGUGCCCCUACCAGCCCCACCCGCCUGAGCCAUUCAGGGAAAAGGAGCUGGGAGGAACCAAACUGGAUGGGCUCCCCCCGACUGCUGAACAGGGACAUGAAGACAGGCCUGAGCUGGUCCCUACAGACCCUUUCCACAGACUCUUCAGCCUUUGACACAGGAGAAACUUCUUACUACCAGAACCGGGCAGCCAUCCCUGCUGGAGAGCAGGCUCAGGCCAAGCAAGCUGCUGUGGACAUAUGUGCGGAGCUCCGGAGCUUCCUGCGGGCCAAGUUGCCUGACAUGCCGCUUCGGGACAUGUACUUGAGUGGCAGCCUCUAUGAUGACCUGCAGGUGGUGACAGCUGACCACAUCCAACUCAUUGUGCCCCUUGUGCUACAGCAGAACCUGUGGUCAUGUAUUCCCGGUGAAGACAUCAUCAUGAAUGUCCCUGGCUUUUUCCUGGUUCGUCGUGAGAAUCCAGAGUACUUUCCUCGUGGGAGCAGUUACUGGGACCACUGUGUAGUAGGGGGUUACCUCUCCCCAAAGACAGUUGCUGAUACAUUUGAGAAGGUAGUGGCUGGCUCCAUCAAUUGGCCAGCCAUAGGGUCCCUCUUGGACUAUGUGAUCCGACUGGCUCCGCCCCCAGAAGCCCUGACACUGGAGGUGCAGUACGAGCAUGACAAACAUCUCGUCAUUGACUUCCUGCCAUCAGUGACCCUUGGUGACACAGUCUUGGUGGCCAAACCACAUCGGCUAGCCCAGUAUGACAACCUGUGGCGGCUGAGCCUGCGUCCUGCUGAGACGGCAUGCCUGCGGGCUUUGGACCAGGCCGACUCGGGCUGCCGAUCCCUGUGCCUCAAGAUCCUCAAGGCCAUAUGCAAGUCCACCCCGGCUCUGGGCCACCUCACUGCCAGCCAGCUCACCAACAUCAUCCUCCACUUGGCCCAGGAGGAGGCUGACUGGUCUCCGGAUAUGCUGGCUGACCGUUUCCUGCAGGCCCUGAGGGGACUUAUCAGCUAUCUAGAGGCGGGAGUCCUGCCCAGUGCCCUAAACCCCAAGGUGAACUUAUUUGCAGAACUCACCCCUGAAGAAAUAGACGAACUAGGAUAUACUCUAUUGCUCAUUGUCUGAGCCAGAGGUGCUGCUGCAGACGUAGGGCAGGUGAAGGUCAAAGCAGGUGUCGGUGGUCAGGCCCUGGAUUCUCCAUUAGAUACACUUGGCUACGUAGUUGGUGCCUCACAGGGUCCCUGGUGCCUCCUGUCUUGCUGAUCAUCACCCUGGUCACUUCAUGCCCAUUAGAUGACAUCUCUUCUGUCUCUUGUUUUCUUACCCAACUCCUUCUAUUUUCGUUACCAAUCACUGUGCUCCCUACUCCUCCCUGGCUCCAGGCUAAUUUUUCUGAAAUGAAUUGAGAAGGUGGAGUGCUGGCCUGAGCUGACGGACCACUUGGUGUUUUGCGUGUUGGCCCAUGUUUGCUGCCUCUGUCUGGCCUGCCUUGCCUGUUUGCCUGUUCCCGCUACGUGUCUUUUCUAUCUUUUCCUCUCUCGUUCACGCCUUCUGUUUU